UGUUUGGCUCAGGACGAACGCUGGCGGCGUGCCUAAUACAUGCAAGUCGAGCGGACAGAAGGGAGCUUGCUCCCGGAUGUUAGCGGCGGACGGGUGAGUAACACGUGGGUAACCUGCCUGUAAGACUGGGAUAACUCCGGGAAACCGGAGCUAAUACCGGAUAGUUCCUUGAACCGCAUGGUUCAAGGAUGAAAGACGGUUUCGGCUGUCACUUACAGAUGGACCCGCGGCGCAUUAGCUAGUUGGUGAGGUAACGGCUCACCAAGGCGACGAUGCGUAGCCGACCUGAGAGGGUGAUCGGCCACACUGGGACUGAGACACGGCCCAGACUCCUACGGGAGGCAGCAGUAGGGAAUCUUCCGCAAUGGACGAAAGUCUGACGGAGCAACGCCGCGUGAGUGAUGAAGGUUUUCGGAUCGUAAAGCUCUGUUGUUAGGGAAGAACAAGUGCAAGAGUAACUGCUUGCACCUGACGGUACCUACCAG
rnacentral:rRNA from 1 species